GAUGAACGCUGGCGGCGUGCCUAAUACAUGCAAGUCGAGCGAACAGACGAGGAGCUUGCUCCUCUGACGUUAGCGGCGGACGGGUGAGUAACACGUGGAUAACCUACCUAUAAGACUGGGAUAACUUCGGGAAACCGGAGCUAAUACCGGAUAAUAUAUUGAACCGCAUGGUUCAAUAGUGAAAGACGGUUUUGCUGUCACUUAUAGAUGGAUCCGCGCCGCAUUAGCUAGUUGGUAAGGUAACGGCUUACCAAGGCAACGAUGCGUAGCCGACCUGAGAGGGUGAUCGGCCACACUGGAACUGAGACACGGUCCAGACUCCUACGGGAGGCAGCAGUAGGGAAUCUUCCGAAAUGGGCGAAAGCCUGACGGAACAACGCCGCGUGAGUGAUGAAGGUCUUCGGAUCGUAAAACUCUGUUAUUAGGGAAGAACAAAUGUGUAAGUAACUAUGCACGUCUUGACGGUACCUAAUCAGAAAGCCACGGCUAACUACGUG
rnacentral:rRNA from 1 species